GCUUUCCAUGCAGUCGAACGGCAGCACGGACUUCGGUCUGGUGGCGAGUGGCGAACGGGUGAGUAAUACAUCGGAACGUACCUUUUAGUUGGGGAUAACGCAUCGAAAGAUGUGCUAAUACCGAAUAAUCUCUGAGGAGGAAAGGCGGGGAUCGGAAACGACCUGUCGCUGAAAGAGCGGCCGAUGGCCGAUUAGCUAGUUGGCGGGGUAAAAGCCCACCAAGGCGAUGAUCGGUAGCUGUUCUGAGAGGAAGAUCAGCCACACUGGGACUGAGACACGGCCCAGACUCCUACGGGAGGCAGCAGUGGGGAAUCUUGGACAAUGGGGGCAACCCUGAUCCAGCAACGCCGCGUGAAUGAAGAAGGCCUUAGGGUUGUAAAGUUCUUUUGUCGCAGAGCAAAAUGCUUGUACUAAUACUAUGAGUAGAUGAGAGUAUGCGAAGAAUAAGCACCGGCUAACUACGUGCCAGCAGCCGCGGUAAUACGUAGGGUGCAAGCGUUAAUCGGAAUUACUGGGCGUAAAGCGUGCGCAGGCGGAUAUAUAAGUUAGAAGUGAAAUCCCCGGGCUCAACCUGGGAACUGCUUUUAAGACUGUAUAUCUAGAGUUUGUCAGAGGGGGGUGGAAUUCCAAGUGUAGCAGUGAAAUGCGUAGAGAUUUGGAGGAACACCGAUGGCGAAGGCAGCCCCCCUGGGAUAAAACUGACGCUCAGGCACGAAAGCGUGGGUAGCAAACAGGAUUAGAUACCCUGGUAGUCCACGCCCUAAACGAUGUCUACUUGCUGUUGGGGGUAACCUUAGUAGCGAAGCUAACGCGAGAAGUAGACCGCCUGGGGAGUACGGUCGCAAGAUUAAAACUCAAAGGAAUUGACGGGGACCCGCACAAGCGGUGGAUGAUGUGGAUUAAUUCGAUGCAACGCGAAAACCUUACCUGCUCUUGA
rnacentral:rRNA from 1 species